GAUGAAGAACGCAGCGAAAUGCGAUAAGUAAUGUGAAUUGCAGAAUUCAGUGAAUCAUCGAAUCUUUGAACGCACAUUGCGCCCGCCAGUAUUCUGGCGGGCAUGCCUGUUCGAGCGUCAUUACAACCCUCAGGCCCCCGGGCCUGGCGUUGGGGAUCGGCGGAGCCCCCCGUGGGCACACGCCGUCCCCCAAAUGCAGUGGCGGUCCCGCCGCAGCUUCCAUCGCGUAGUAGCUAACACCUCGCGACUGGAGAGCGGCGCGGCCACGCCGUAAAACACCCAACUCUUCUGAAGUUGACCUCGAAUCAGGUAGGAAUACCCGCUGAACUUAAGCAUAUCAAUAAGCGGGGA
rnacentral:misc_RNA from 1 species